rnacentral:rRNA from 1 species
GGGUUGUGAGGUUAAGCGACUAAGCGUACACGGUGGAUGCCCUGGCAGUCAGAGGCGAUGAAGGACGUGCUAAUCUGCGAUAAGCGUCGGUGAGGUGAUAUGAACCGUUAUAACCGGCGAUUUCCGAAUGGGGAAACCCAGUGUGAUUCGUCACACUAUCAUUAACUGAAUCCAUAGGUUAAUGAGGCGAACCGGGGGAACUGAAACAUCUAAGUACCCCGAGGAAAAGAAAUCAACCGAGAUUCCCCCAGUAGCGGCGAGCGAACGGGGAAGAGCCCAGAGCCUGAAUCAGUGUGUGUGUUAGUGGAAGCGUCUGGAAAGGCGCGCGAUACAGGGUGACAGCCCCGUACACAAAAAUGCACAUAUUGUGAGCUCGAUGAGUAGGGCGGGACACGUGGUAUCCUGUCUGAAUAUGGGGGGACCAUCCUCCAAGGCUAAAUACUCCUGACUGACCGAUAGUGAACCAGUACCGUGAGGGAAAGGCGAAAAGAACCCCGGCGAGGGGAGUGAAAAAGAACCUGAAACCGUGUACGUACAAGCAGUGGGAGCCUCUUAAUGGGGUGACUGCGUACCUUUUGUAUAAUGGGUCAGCGACUUAUAUUCUGUAGCAAGGUUAACCGAAUAGGGGAGCCGAAGGGAAACCGAGUCUUAACUGGGCGUUAAGUUGCAGGGUAUAGACCCGAAACCCGGUGAUCUAGCCAUGGGCAGGUUGAAGGUUGGGUAACACUAACUGGAGGACCGAACCGACUAAUGUUGAAAAAUUAGCGGAUGACUUGUGGCUGGGGGUGAAAGGCCAAUCAAACCGGGAGAUAGCUGGUUCUCCCCGAAAGCUAUUUAGGUAGCGCCUCGUGAAUUCAUCUCCGGGGGUAGAGCACUGUUUCGGCAAGGGGGUCAUCCCGACUUACCAACCCGAUGCAAACUGCGAAUACCGGAGAAUGUUAUCACGGGAGACACACGGCGGGUGCUAACGUCCGUCGUGAAGAGGGAAACAACCCAGACCGCCAGCUAAGGUCCCAAAGUCAUGGUUAAGUGGGAAACGAUGUGGGAAGGCCCAGACAGCCAGGAUGUUGGCUUAGAAGCAGCCAUCAUUUAAAGAAAGCGUAAUAGCUCACUGGUCGAGUCGGCCUGCGCGGAAGAUGUAACGGGGCUAAACCAUGCACCGAAGCUGCGGCAGCGACACUAUGUGUUGUUGGGUAGGGGAGCGUUCUGUAAGCCUGUGAAGGUGGCCUGUGAGGGUUGCUGGAGGUAUCAGAAGUGCGAAUGCUGACAUAAGUAACGAUAAAGCGGGUGAAAAGCCCGCUCGCCGGAAGACCAAGGGUUCCUGUCCAACGUUAAUCGGGGCAGGGUGAGUCGACCCCUAAGGCGAGGCCGAAAGGCGUAGUCGAUGGGAAACAGGUUAAUAUUCCUGUACUUGGUGUUACUGCGAAGGGGGGACGGAGAAGGCUAUGUUGGCCGGGCGACGGUUGUCCCGGUUUAAGCGUGUAGGCUGGUUUUCCAGGCAAAUCCGGAAAAUCAAGGCUGAGGCGUGAUGACGAGGCACUACGGUGCUGAAGCGACAAAUGCCCUGCUUCCAGGAAAAGCCUCUAAGCAUCAGGUAACAUCAAAUCGUACCCCAAACCGACACAGGUGGUCAGGUAGAGAAUACCAAGGCGCUUGAGAGAACUCGGGUGAAGGAACUAGGCAAAAUGGUGCCGUAACUUCGGGAGAAGGCACGCUGAUAUGUAGGUGAAGCGACUUGCUCGUGGAGCUGAAAUCAGUCGAAGAUACCAGCUGGCUGCAACUGUUUAUUAAAAACACAGCACUGUGCAAACACGAAAGUGGACGUAUACGGUGUGACGCCUGCCCGGUGCCGGAAGGUUAAUUGAUGGGGUUAGCGGUAACGCGAAGCUCUUGAUCGAAGCCCCGGUAAACGGCGGCCGUAACUAUAACGGUCCUAAGGUAGCGAAAUUCCUUGUCGGGUAAGUUCCGACCUGCACGAAUGGCGUAAUGAUGGCCAGGCUGUCUCCACCCGAGACUCAGUGAAAUUGAACUCGCUGUGAAGAUGCAGUGUACCCGCGGCAAGACGGAAAGACCCCGUGAACCUUUACUAUAGCUUGACACUGAACAUUGAGCCUUGAUGUGUAGGAUAGGUGGGAGGCUUUGAAGUGUGGACGCCAGUCUGCAUGGAGCCGACCUUGAAAUACCACCCUUUAAUGUUUGAUGUUCUAACGUGGGCCCCUAAUCGGGGUUGCGGACAGUGUCUGGUGGGUAGUUUGACUGGGGCGGUCUCCUCCUAAAGAGUAACGGAGGAGCACGAAGGUUGGCUAAUCCUGGUCGGACAUCAGGAGGUUAGUGCAAUGGCAUAAGCCAGCUUGACUGCGAGCGUGACGGCGCGAGCAGGUGCGAAAGCAGGUCAUAGUGAUCCGGUGGUUCUGAAUGGAAGGGCCAUCGCUCAACGGAUAAAAGGUACUCCGGGGAUAACAGGCUGAUACCGCCCAAGAGUUCAUAUCGACGGCGGUGUUUGGCACCUCGAUGUCGGCUCAUCACAUCCUGGGGCUGAAGUAGGUCCCAAGGGUAUGGCUGUUCGCCAUUUAAAGUGGUACGCGAGCUGGGUUUAGAACGUCGUGAGACAGUUCGGUCCCUAUCUGCCGUGGGCGCUGGAGAACUGAGGGGGGCUGCUCCUAGUACGAGAGGACCGGAGUGGACGCAUCACUGGUGUUCGGGUUGUCAUGCCAAUGGCACUGCCCGGUAGCUAAAUGCGGAAGAGAUAAGUGCUGAAAGCAUCUAAGCACGAAACUUGCCCCGAGAUGAGUUCUCCCUGACUCCUUGAGAGUCCUGAAGGAACGUUGAAGACGACGACGUUGAUAGGCCGGGUGUGUAAGCGCAGCGAUGCGUUGAGCUAACCGGUACUAAUGAACCGUGAGGCUUAACCUUACAACGCCGAAG